UGCAUCGACCGGGAUCGAACCCGUAUUUUAAUAGUAUAGCCCGCGUGGCAGGCGAGCAUUCUACCACUGAAUCACCGAUGC